CGGUGUGCUGGGCGAGGAGCCCGCGCCACGCGAGCUCGUCGAGGAUGUCGGUCACGGGCGUCUCCCGGUUCGGGUGCCGGCACGUCCGC
rnacentral:tRNA from 1 species